AAGAUAUCAAAAGUCGAACAGACUUGUGUAUACAAAUUUUUCUUUGUACAUUUUUCUUAAUCCAACAUCGAGGUCGUAAUUUAUCUUUUUAAUUUGAUCUUUUAAAGUAUUUUACG
rnacentral:rRNA from 1 species